GGUAGAAGCAGCCCGAAACUCCCCACGACUGCUGAAUUUGACUACCCGCCUGUCCUGGAGAGUCUCACCCACAGUUGCUGCUUAUAGUGAGGGCAGUAUUUCCCCAGAUGGGUCCACACCCCAGAGAGGUUACUAGGGGCAGGUGCAUCUUAGGGACCAGUUGUUCUCAGGAUGCGCUGUGGGAAGUCCCAGGGUCUGAAUGCAGGCUCAGUAACCCUGCCCAACCCUGACCUCGAGAAGGGUCUUCUCUCCUUGCUGACCAGGCAACCAGCCGGCUCAAGUUAUCCAUCAGGGGCCACAUCCUUUCUGCAGAAACCCUUCCCUUCCUACAAAAGCUGCAGGUCUCCGGCAUGAGCCUUCUUUAGAAGUGUCCCAGUGCUGAGAGGCUGCCCGGGUCACCUGUGCCAGGGAACACAGGUCCCAUUUCAGACAGGGCUGUUGGGAUGGUCGGACCCUGGAGGCCACUGGCCACUCUGUGGAAGGCGGACACUGAGACUUGCCAGCUUGUUGCCCGAUUUGAUUUCCUGCUGACCUGAGAUGUGCCACCCACAGGAGUGUGUGGGCAAGGCCCAGUAGUGUAACCUAGGCCCUGACUAGGUUUCUGCCUUCAGGAGAAUGAAAACCAUGAUCAGCUGUCAUUUUGAUUCCCAGAGGGAGAGAGCAUUAUUGUCCUUUAAGGAGCUCUUGCUGUGGUUUAGCACUUUUCAGAGUGACAGAGGAAUAUGGGUGAGCUCCUGUAACUAAGUUAAUUGGCCUGGACAAGCCCAUCCCACAAAGCAGCUCUGAGAAACUGCUCACUGGGCAGGGCCCACGACCCUGCACCUUCGGGCUGUCUGCCAAUAGGGGGCCUCACGUUGAGGAGUUAGGACCCAGACUCACCUGGAAACCUCCAAGCUACUCAGGGGCCCUUGAGAACUCUUUAGAUGGCUGAGUUACGCUUUGUACUUGUUGGGCCCAAGAUGCACAGGUGACCAACGUUGUCCUGUUUCCUUCUGUUCCCUUCUGUGGAUAAAAUGACAGCCUACCAA